GAAAUGCGAUAAGUAAUGUGAAUUUCAGAAUUCCGUGAAUCAUCGAAUCUUUGAACGCACAUUGCGCCCUCUGGCAUUCCGGGGGGCAUGCCUGUCCGAGCGUCAUUACGCACCCUCAAGCCCGGCUUGUGUGAUGGGCCCCGGCGUCUCGUUCGCGAGACGGGCCCGAAAGGCAGCGGCGGCGUCGACCCGAUGAGCCCGAGCGUAUGGGGACUUCUGUCACACGUUCGCGGUGCGGACCGGCGCCUGCUUGACUUUUCUGAUUAUCCAGGUUGACCUCGGAUCAGGUAGGGAUACCCGCUGAACUUAAGC
rnacentral:misc_RNA from 1 species